rnacentral:misc_RNA from 2 species
AACAAACCUCAAGCACUUUUGCUUGGUAUUGGAGAUGGAGGAAGCCGCAAGGUUCGCCUCCACUCCGAAAUUCAACGGCAGAGAGCUCUCGGUGCGAUUGCGUAGUAAGUAACUAUUUCGCGGUCACCUGGAAGCCUUCUCGCCAUAGAACCCCCAUUUUUCUUA